rnacentral:lncRNA from 1 species
CGAAAGUUGGAUGCAUCCCCCAGAUUAUUCAUGCUCCGUGCAGAGGGUGUUCUCUUAACCGUAAGCCACGAAAGUUAGGCGGGUCCCUUUGACCGUCUAUGCUCCGUGCAGGGUGUUUUCUUAAUCGUAAGCCGCGAAAGUUGGAUGCAUCCCCCGGAUCAUCCAUGCUCCGCGCAGAGGGUUCUUUAUUAAUCGUAAGCCGCGAAAGUUAGCUGGAUCCCUAUGACCAGCUAUGCUCCGCGCAGAGUAUUCCAGCCAACACGAGGG